GACGAACGCUGGCGGCGUGCUUAACACAUGCAAGUCGAACGGAAAGGCCCCUUUGGGGGUACUCGAGUGGCGCACGGGUGAGUAACACGUGAGUAACCUGCCCUUGACUUCGGGAUAACUUCAGGAAACUGGGGCUAAUACCGGAUAGGAAUCCUUGCUGCAUGGUGGGGGUUGGAAAGCUUCGGCGGUUUUGGAUGGACUCGCGGCUUAUCAGCUUGUUGGUGGGGUAGUGGCUUACCAAGGCUUUGACGGGUAGCCGGCCUGAGAGGGCGACCGGCCACAUUGGGACUGAGAUACGGCCCAGACUCCUACGGGAGGCAGCGGUGGGGAAUAUUGCACAAUGGGCGGAAGCCUGAUGCAGCAACGCCGCGUGCGGGAUGACGGCCUUCGGGUUGUAAACCGCUUUCAGCAGGGGCGAAGCUUGUGGUGACGGUACCUGCAGAAGAAGCACCGGCUAACUACGUG
rnacentral:rRNA from 1 species